GGGUGUGGAGAGCAGUCUGGUCUUUUCUUUAGUGAAGAUAUGUGGUUAGCUCUAGUCAUGAGACAGUGUGAUAUAUCAGCUAUGAUAGGGACUCUUUCCUCUUGAGGGGAGAUGCUGUUUGAAAUCUUUAAUAAUUAAAGAAAAAAUAAGAAAAAUCAACAAAACCCAAGGCGCAUCAUGGAGAGAAGAGGGAUGUAUGUAUGAAUGGGCAGGGCUGCAUGGGUGAGGCAAAGAAUGUGUGGGGAGGAUGGAACAGGGAAGGGAGAAGUCUGCUUCUUACUGAAGGUCUGGUACCUUAUUUCUGAUGCAUGUUGGUGGCCUUCCAGGGGGUGAUGAAUCUGCUCGCAGGUUGGCUGUAUGAGAAGACCACAGUGGGAAAUAGCUUUGACCUCAGUUGACUAGGUGAUGCCUUGAAACACUGGAAUCAUUGGGGGAUUCUAUAGAGGCUUUGCAAAAAAACUACACACACAAAAGCUUUCUGCUUCCAUGUUAUGUUAGCAAGUUCUUUAAACCUCUCGCUAAGCCAUUGCCUGUGAUAUUCUGAUGGAGUCAAUUUCUUGAGCUAAUUGUCAAAUGCAUGGGUAUUUCUCAGUCUUGGUUUGCUUUUCUGGUUGUCUAAUUCCUAGCAUCUUAUUUUUAAGUUACUGGAAAGAGUAACAGAAGUUUGAUAUUUUUAAAAACUGUUCACUGUUGCUGCUUUUUAAUCUUUUCUUGCCUUCUUCUUUCAAAGAAAGACUAGGGUUAUUUUCAGUUUUCCUUUUGUGUUGAGCUGCAGUUUGUUUGUUUAAUAAUCUCUUUGCCUGUUUCUUACAUAGAUAAGUAGUAUUCCUGUGUGACAGGCAAGGAAAAUGGCAAGCCCAGUCAAGAAGAGCGAGACUUGAUGGAUAAAAUACUGACUACAGUUAAAUGCAGCAUAGCUUUAUAAAUCUAUUUCAGUACUCCUGAGAAAAAUACUACCCCCAUCAUCACAGUAUGUAAGCACCUUUCAGGCAGUAAAAAUAUAUGUUCUGAGUCUUCUCUUCCUGUAUCUGGGCCUAUACAUCUGAUUCUUUGUGUGAGUACCUGACAGCUUACAUUCACAUGUUAGGAUGAUAGGUGGUGGUAGAGCAGAAAGAAGAAACUUGUUAAGUUUGUGUCUUUACGUGUGGAGCAGCCAGGCAGGGAUUCAAAUGCUUCAGUUGAGUAGUGCUGAACACACUAACCAGGGUUCUUUAGACUUGUACAUUUGUCCCCAAAGGAACCCCAAGGAGGGAAUAAAGGAGGCUUUUGCUUUGCCUCGCUCCGUGCUUGUGUCUGAUGCCAUUACUGUAAUGUAACUGCAUCUUUUAUUUUAACAUGCUUUUUCAGAGCAACAGAAGUUAACUAAAAAUAUGCUUUCUCAUCUUUGAGAAGUCAGUACUGUUUGAACGCAGCCUGUUUCAGUUCUCUCCUUUUCAGCUGUCAUUCCCAGCUGUCACAGUCUCCUUGAUGUGAGGACUUUACCCCUGUUGUUGCAAAGCAGUUUGGUUAACAACUGCUGUUGCCCAAAGGUUAAAACCUGAAAAGUGGUAUCUUUUGUUGCUUCCCUUACAAAUGUUUGGUUUCUGUUUGGUAGCAUCUCCCUCACUGCUCUGCCUUCGAUGUGUUCCAUCCUAUUUUUGGAGAACUAUGCAAAGCAAAUGAACAUGUCUAAUGAUGAAUAUAUUCUUCUGGAUGUGUUAGGGGGCUGAAUUAUGACUGAGGAGAGAGUAAAAAAGAGAAAUUAUAUCCUGUGCUGACAUGACAUUUAAUCCUAUCCAAUUAGGAUCUGUAAGUACAAGUAGCAGUCCUUCUUGAGUGAAAGGACAUGUAAAAUUACUUCUUUAAACGCUAAGAACCCCAUAUGAUGUUGGAGUGUAUCAGCAGGAAAAACAACUCUUUCUUAACUAACUACAUAGUAUUAUGUACUUCUUUUAAGUAUGUUUUUACAUUUGAUACAGAUAUCCUCUGUCUGCAAGCUCUUCUGUUUGUUAGCUUCUCACAAGUCAAGCAUAAGAUCCAGGAACAUUAGAGGAGCUGGCAAGAGCACUGGGGAUAAAUGGAUUAUAAACCUGCCAUUUCACUGUGAUCCUGAGAGCGACUUUCAUGGAUGACACUUGAAAUAAAGGAGUUAAAAGUCUCUGAUGUGGUGGAGAGAAUAUUUUUACCUAUGAACUAAUGUGCCUGUCCUCAUUAGGAUCAAAUGCUACUUGGACCAGUGACGCUAGGGAGCACUUUCAGUUAUUGUGAUAUGCAAUGUUUUCAUUAUUUCAGCAAACAUCCCUUUUCAAAUUCUGUCUGACAGACAAGUGACAGACACUGAGGGCAGUUUUCUGUUCCAUUUUGUAGAGACAUCUGUCCACAGAGUGUAUAUGGGAGAAAGCAAAAUAAAAUUACGAAACAUCACAAAUGUGACAUGAUUGAAAAAGGCCUGGGGAAAUCUAUUCCAUCUGAAAAAGUGCAAACUAAAGAACAGAAAAAUAGUACCUUAAUUACAGGGAUUGGGUUGCUUUUUGCUAAACUGUAGAUUUAACCUAAAGAAGCAGGUUGGGUUUUUUGUUUAUUUUCCUAACACCUUCCUCCUUCCCCAAUCUAACAUAAUUUUUCUUAGUGCCCAAAAAUAUAAGGGAGGUGAGUUGUUCCUUUUACCUAAGUACAUUUGUUUUAAACAGUUUUUCUCUAUGCCUUGAGGAAUUUCUGCCUGGUGUCCUCUCAGGUAUGCAUCAGAUUUUCCUUCUUUCCACUUUCUAGUCCAUUUUAUUCUUUCUCUUAAGCUCUUGUAUGCUAUCUGCAGUAAGUCAUGUGAAGUUCUAGACUGGAAAAGGAGGUACUGUUCAGAAUCUGUAACCAGUUUUAGUCUUCUGUCCUGUUUUGUUUCCUUUCCCCUCCCCCCAACCCCCCUCCCCCCCCCCCCCCCCCCCCCCCCCCCCAGUAUUCCUGGUACAGCUAUUUGGUAAAUUGAAGCAAAGUGGAACUAGUUGCAUACUACUGGAUUCAUUCUUAUGUUAUUGUUCACAGGAAGAGCCUAGGUACAGUUGGCCCCACAAAGAGCAUGAGGUGGUGAAUAUGGUCUUUGAAGCAGAUUUGGAGCUGUAAUGACUGGCUUCCUUCCCUGCUGCUGUCCCUUCCCCUUCCUUGCAAAGCAUUUUCAUUUGAAAAACUAAGGUGUGGUCAUCAGGCAUAUCUGUUCUCAACUUCCAGUAAUUUUUUGCUCACUGCUGAGCUACACCAUAAUUACAUAUGCAAAUGUAGUAUUUUUUUGCCCUCUUACCUUGUACAUGUGGAAGAGAAAGAUAAGGUUGCAGAGUACUGCCAGGGAUGGUGCUGCAGAUGGGCCACACAAGGAGAGAAGUACUCGUCCUUCCGGACAAGGCUCAUGGGUCAUUUCAGAACUUCAGUGACACGAAGGCAACAAGAAAACACUGUUCAUGCCAACUUUAAACUUCAGAUAGGAGCAGAUUGUUGGACAACUUGUUAUAAUAACAUUUUGUUACAUUCUAGCUACCAAGUGCUAAGACUGACUUUGUAUUUGCAACAGGAAUUUGUUUUGUAGACAUACCUAGGUAUAGUUAUCAAAAUUUUAAUCUCUUAGGCUGGUUUGUAUGCUCCAUGUGGUAACACAAGGUAAACUUUGGUCAUUCAUAACAGUGUUGUAAUGAUACUAAAACGACAGACACUAACUCUAUGGAAAAGACUAUUGUGACAACUUCUGCUCUUAAGCCUAUCUACCUUUAAAGAACUCAUACUUCUUCCUUCAACCAGAGAAGCAUUAGGUAGGACUGCAAUCAAAUGUGUGUCUUGUUGGUUCUUGGGUCUACUGUCAAAACACUUUGUAGCUGAAGUGUGUAUGCACAUGCGCAACUGUGUGCUGUUUUCCUGCCUUUUCCUUUUGUCUGUCAGGCUUCUGGCUGAUAGCAGAUUAGCUAUCUGAAUGUGGGCAGCAAAGAGUAAUGGGCUGUACAAAAUGCCUGAGGCUUCUUGCAUAUAAUAAAGUGACUUCACUAUAAAGCAAAAAAUGACAAGCCUGCCAUGGAGGAUAUCUGUACGGGGGAGAUGGAGAGUAGCCUUUGGUUUAUGAUCAUGUUAAUGAGUGUAAAAUAAACUUAAUUUUUUUUCAACUGUCAAAAGUAUUCCUAGGUGCUUUAUAGAGUAGUGUUGAAGAUCCUUCCAGCAGGAAAAUAGCGAUGAGCUAAAUGUAUGAUGUACUACUUGCUAUUCCUGAUUGCUGUAUAAGUGUGGGGGAAGGAAGGGUGUAAUAGCAUGAUGGCUCAGUUUCAUUUUCACCAUGCAGGUGUAUUUUUUUUUUUCUUUUCAAUUUUUUAUUCCUAGUGUUUUGAUUAGUUACAGGAUUACAUAAUCUGCCCUGCGGAAGUGUGUUUGGAUUAAGUCUUUUGAAAGAUAUGCUAAUACAGAUUUGAAGGAAAUUGGGCCAGAGACAUGGCUGAGACAGAGGGAAUCCAGAUGUUAGAGGGAUAUAAAAUAUAAAGCUGUAGUGAGUUGGAUCAAGCAGAGGUACAAGUCUGUAUGCAGAAGCACAGUAGCAGGAAAAAUAACUAGGAAUCCUAUCAAGGUUUUUGACAACUGUACUUAACCCACUAUAAGAAUCUGGUGUUUAAACAACCUCUUAAUUGUCUACAGUUUACUGUGUUUGUAAGCAGUAGUGGCUGCUCUUGCCAUUGUAACUUCUAUUUACAGCUUUCAAGAAGAUGUUUUGUUUGAUGGCAUGCAAGCUCUAAAAGAUGCUCUGCCCCCCAGAAAAAAGGUGCACUGCUUUCAUUUAUGCUAAAUGGAGGAUCUUCCUGGAUUGCUUCUGCUCUGGAAAUGAAGAUGGCUUCUGAUAAACACAGGCUUUCAAACUAAAUGGCAAGUCAGCAUAAAAACAAUUCGGUAUAUAGAAUAAGGAGGAAUUGUUAAUACGUGCAAAACUUGUCCUAAAAUGCUUAAAGAAACCUCUUGACUAAUAUUUGUUUUAGUCUGUCCCUCAUUUGUUGGAGUCAGGUUGUAUCCACAGUGACAUAUUGAACAAAGUCGACUGUGGAAAUCUAUGCUUUAGCAGCAAAAUGUACAAAUUAAAACUUGUAAUAAAUAAAAUGUGAAUACUGUGUGAGUAA